rnacentral:rRNA from 1 species
CAAUAGCGUAUAUUUAAGUUGCUGCAGUUAAAAAGCUCGUAGUUGGAUUUCGGGUGGGAAUGGCCGGUCCGCCGUUUCGGUGUGCACUUGCUACGCCCACCUUGCUGCCGGGGACGUGCUCUUGAGUUCACGCUCGGGACACGGAGUCGGCGAGGUUACUUUGAGUAAAUUAGAGUGUUCAAAGCAGGCCUACGCUCUGAAUACAUUAGCAUGGAAUAACACGAUAGGACUCUGGCCUAUCUUGUUGGUCUGUAGGACCGGAGUAAUGAUUAAGAGGGACAGUCGGGGGCAUUCGUAUUUCAUUGUCAGAGGUGAAAUUCUUGGAUUUAUGAAAGACGAACUACUGCGAAAGCAUUUGCCAAGGAUGCUUUCAUUAA